UACGUAGGGGGCUAGCGUUGUUCGGAAUUACUGGGCGUAAAGCGCACGUAGGCGGCGAUUUAAGUCAGAGGUGAAAGCCCGGGGCUCAACCCCGGAAUAGCCUUUGAGACUGGAUUGCUUGAACAUCGGAGAGGUGAGUGGAAUUCCGAGUGUAGAGGUGAAAUUCGUAGAUAUUCGGAAGAACACCAGUGGCGAAGGCGGCUCACUGGACGAUUGUUGACGCUGAGGUGCGAAAGCGUGGGGAGCAAACAGG
rnacentral:rRNA from 1 species